UACGUAGGGGGCAAGCGUUGUUCGGAAUUACUGGGCGUAAAGCGCGCGUAGGCGGUUUGGAAAGUCAGAUGUGAAAGCCCCGGGCUCAACUUGGGAACUGCAUUUGAUACUGCCAGACUAGAGUACAGAAGAGGUGACUGGAAUUCCCAGUGUAGCGGUGAAAUGCGUAGAUAUUGGGAGGAACACCAGAUGCGAAGGCGGGUCACUGGGCUGAUACAUGACGGCUGAUGCGGCGAAAGCCAGGGGAGCGAACGGG
rnacentral:rRNA from 1 species